AUUGAACGCUGGCGGCAGGCCUAACACAUGCAAGUCGAGCGGAUGAAGGGAGCUUGCUCCUGGAUUCAGCGGCGGACGGGUGAGUAAUGCCUAGGAAUCUGCCUGGUAGUGGGGGAUAACGUCCGGAAACGGGCGCUAAUACCGCAUACGUCCUGAGGGAGAAAGUGGGGGAUCUUCGGACCUCACGCUAUCAGAUGAGCCUAGGUCGGAUUAGCUAGUUGGUGGGGUAAAGGCCUACCAAGGCGACGAUCCGUAACUGGUCUGAGAGGAUGAUCAGUCACACCGGAACUGGAACACGGUCCAGACUCCUACGGGAGGGAGGAGGUGGGAAUAUUGGACAAUGGGGCGAAGCCUGAUCCAGGCAUGCCGGGGGGGGUAAGAAGGUCUUCGGAUUGUAAAGCACUUUAAGUUGGGAGGAAGGGCAGUAAGGUUAUACCUUGCUUUUUUGACGGUACCAACAGAAUAAGCACCGGCUAACUUCGUG
rnacentral:rRNA from 1 species